AAAGACUAGAACAAAAGACUUAACAUUUUAAUUUAUUUCUUAAAUUUAUUUAUUUAAAUUAUUUUAAGCGUAAAAAAACACUUAUUUUUAAGAAAGACGAUAAGACCCUAUCGAACUUAACUUUAGUUUAACUGGGGCAGUAAAUUAAUUAAUAUUUUAAUUAAAAUUUAAACAAUUUUAUCCAAUAAAAUUGAUUAAUUAAGUUACCGUAGGGAUAACAGCGUAAUAUAAUUUUUAAGAUCUUAUUUAAAAUUAAGUUUGCGACCUCGAUGUUGAUUUAAUAUUCUUAUUUACGCAAUAGUAAAUAAAGAAAGUCUGUUCGACUUUUAAACAAUUACAUGA
rnacentral:rRNA from 1 species